UAUCAACGCCGUACUAAACAUAAGCGAAAUGGAGAAGUACCUCGUGUAUCUUGUUAUCAUACAUUUUAUUCAAAUUGAAUGUCAAAGUAUUUAUGAAAGACAAAAUGAAGCAAACUUGAAAAAAAAUAUCGCAAGUUUAAAACGGGAUCCCCGUGAAAGCGAUGAUUAUGAAGACGAAGGUGGCUUCAUACACGCUCCAAAUACUAAAACGGACCACAGUUUUAUUUGGAAUGUAAGUAGCUGUCCUGAGAAAGAAGUAAGAGCCCCGUGGGGUCCAUGCAUUACUUGUAAAGAAUACAUGGAGAAAUUGAAAAAGGUCGGCCCUGGAUGUACAUGAAAUGAAAACUUAGCUUUAAUUAAUCUUAAGAAAAUUAUAAUUAAUGUCACUAUUAUUAGUAACUAGUCUUAUUAUUUAAGUUCUAUUUAAAAUCGUUUUUAAUUGAACGCGACUGUUUUAAUUUUUAAGUUUAAGUUUAAUACAUUCAAUAAAUGGCUUAGUUCAAAAUUUUCAAAUCAAGGAUGUUAACUCUCCUCCAGUUAUUUUAAUUUCCAAGUUUUGUAUAAUCUUAUUUUUGUAUUUAGAUUUUUAUAUUAUAUACUUCUCAAUAAGGUUUUCGUACUUCAAAUAUAUCCAAGACCAAGAAAGGUUUUAAUGAUAAAAAAGUGAACCAGAAUUUUAAACAGUUUCUUUUGGUUUAUGAAGUCGGUUAAAUAUCUGUUAAUACCGAUAAUAUAAUAUACGUGUUAUGUAUAUAGUAAAUACUUACACCAAAUAACUUUGUUUAAAAAAAAUAUCACGAAAAGUAAUUUUUAAUAAAAUUAUUUAAUUAGUACACCACUC